AGUGAACGCUGGCGGUAGGCCUAACACAUGCAAGUCGAACGGCAGCACAGUAAGAGCUUGCUCUUACGGGUGGCGAGUGGCGGACGGGUGAGGAAUACAUCGGAAUCUACUUUUUCGUGGGGGAUAACGUAGGGAAACUUACGCUAAUACCGCAUACGACCUACGGGUGAAAGCAGGGGAUCUUCGGACCUUGCGCGAUUGAAUGAGCCGAUGUCGGAUUAGCUAGUUGGCGGGGUAAAGGCCCACCAAGGCGACGAUCCGUAGCUGGUCUGAGAGGAUGAUCAGCCACACUGGAACUUAGACACGGUCCAGACUCCUACGGGGGGCAGCAGUGGGGAAUAUUGGACAAUGGGGGCAAACCUGAUCCAGCCAUACCGCGUGGGUGAAGAAGGCCUUCGGGUUGUAAAGCCCUUUUGUUGGGAAAGAAAAGCAGCAGGUUAAUACCCCGCUGUUCUGACGGUACCCAAAGAAUAAGCACCGGCUAACUUCGUG
rnacentral:rRNA from 1 species